rnacentral:snoRNA from 1 species
AUAUAUGAGGAGUUAAUCCACGUAAUUGAGGUGUAGAUGGCCUCAAGUCCCUGUUUUACAGGGAGAACCUACUACAGUUGCUGUAUGAAAGCAGGAAAUCACUGGAUAU